UACGUAGGGUGCGAGCGUUAAUCGGAAUUACUGGGCGUAAAGGGUGCGCAGGCGGUUAUAUAAGACAGAUGUGAAAUCCCCGGGCUCAACCUGGGACUGCGUUUGUGACUGUAUGACUAGAGUACGGUAGAGAGGGGUGGAAUUCCUGGUGUAGCAGUGAAAUGCGUAGAUAUCAGGAGGAACACCGGUGGGCGAAGGCGGGUCUCUGGGCAGUAACUGACGCUGGAGGAGCGAAAGCGUGGGGAGCGAACGG
rnacentral:rRNA from 1 species